rnacentral:rRNA from 1 species
UACGGAGGGGGCUAGCGUUGUUCGGAAUUAUUGGGCGUAAAGAGCUCGUAGGCGGCUUGUCACGUCGGAUGUGAAAGCCCGGGGCUUAACUCCGGGUCUGCAUUCGAUACGGGCUAGCUAGAGUGUGGUAGGGGAGAUCGGAAUUCCUGGUGUAGCGGUGAAAUGCGCAGAUAUCAGGAGGAACACCGGUGGCGAAGGCGGAUCUCUGGGCCAUUACUGACGCUGAGGAGCGAAAGCGUGGGGAGCGAACAGG